UACGGGGGGAGCAAGGCGUUGUUCGGAUUUACUGGGCGUAAAGGGCGCGUAGGCGGCGCAACAAGUCACUUGUGAAAUCUCCGGGCUUAACUCGGAACGGUCAAGUGAUACUGUUGUGCUAGAGUGCGGAAGGGGCAACUGGAAUUCUCGGUGGUAGCGGUGAAAUGCGUAGAUAUCGAGAGGAACACCUGCGGCGAAGGCGGGUUGCUGGGCCGAACACGUGACGCUGAUGCGCGAAAGCCAGGGGAGCGAACGGGG
rnacentral:rRNA from 1 species